rnacentral:rRNA from 1 species
AUUGAACGCUGGCGGCGGGCCUAACACAUGCAAGUCGAACGGGUGGCGGACGGGUGAGUAAUGUCUUGGAAACUGCCUGAUGGAGGGGGAUAACUACUGGAAACGGUAGCUAAUACCGCAUACGGUCGGAUGGGCCCAGGUGGGAUUAGCGAGUAGGUGGGGUAAAGGCUCACUUAGGCGACGAUCCCUAGCUGGUCUGAGAGGAUGACCAGCCACACUGGAACUGAGACACGGUCCAGACUCCUACGGGAGGCAGCAGUGGGGAAUAUUCCACAAUGGGCGCAAGCCUGAUGCAGCCACGCCGCGUGUAUGAAGAAGGCCUUCGGGUUGUAAAGCACUUUCAGUGGGGAGGCGUUACCCGCAGAAGAAGCACCGGCUAACUCCGUGCCAGCAGCCGCGGUAAUAC